UACAGAGGGUGCAAGCGUUGUUCGGAAUUACUGGGCGUAAAGCGUGCGUAGUCGGUAUUGAGAGUCGCGGGUGAAAUCCCAGGGCUUAACCCUGGAACUGCCUGCGAGACCUCAGUACUAGAGUGUGAGAGGGGAUAGUGGAAUACCCAGUGUAGCGGUGAAAUGCGCAGAUAUCAAGAGGAACACCGGUGGCGAAGGCGGGUCUCUGGGCCGAUACUGACGCUGAGGAGCGAAAGCGUGGGGAGCAAACAGG
rnacentral:rRNA from 1 species